rnacentral:rRNA from 1 species
AUGGGGUUGCAAGAGAUGGCGAAGCUGCAGCUGCACCGCCAUGGCGGCAUGCGAGUGGAAGCCCACGCCCCCGUCGACGACGACCAGGCGGCGGUCCGCGGGAGGAGGAAGAAGGCGACGGCGGCAGCGGUCUGGAUUGCAGUGCCGCUCAGGCCCGUCAAGGUCGGCCGCCGAAGACACGGCGGCGGCGACAGCAGCGGCGAGGCAGGGGAGGUGGAGGAGAAGGAAGUGGAAGAGGAGGAGGAGGUGACGACGCCGAGAGGGGAAGGGUGCAGGAUACCCUGGGAGGCGGCGACGUGCCCGCCGGCGCCCAAGAAGGCGAGGACGGCGGUGGCGAUCUUCGCCGACCGCCGGUGCAACCGCGACGACGGGGAGGCGACAGAGUACUUCCGCGUGCCGGCGGACCUGGACUCCGUGUUCGCCGUCAGCCGGGUCGCCGAGGCCAACUGA